GCCUUCGUAGUGUAACGGUAGCACACUCGACUCCUAUUCGACAGGUCUAGGUUCGAACCCCAGUGAGGGGA
rnacentral:tRNA from 1 species